CGAAUCUGAAAAGGCCGCCCACUCCUUCGCACCGGGAGCCUGUGAGGUGGUGCGGGCCCAGAUGUGACCAGGACACACUGGACGUUGCUCAGCGGUGGCCUCCACACCAGGAGAGAGACACACAGAGACACAUGAGGACAGAAGCAAGCCUGAGGUGCCACGGAUGCCACAGACGUCACAGACGCCAUGGACUGUCAGCCACCAGCAGCUGGAGGAGCAGGAAGGACCCUCCCUAGGCCUCCAGAUGGGGCACGGCCCUGCCGAUUCCUGGAUCUCAGACUUCCGGCCUCCAGAACUGUGAGAGAAUCGAUGUCUGUUGCUCAAGCCCCAGCGUGGUGCUUUCUUACAGCAGCCCCAGGACACUGGGACACUGGGACACUCACACACACAACGUCCAUAACCAUUUUACUUUUCAGAGACUUGAACAAGCUAACCUGCAAGAAGUUCCAAGAAGGAGGAGGCAAUCACCCCCUUGUCUCCAUUUAUUUUACCACAAACCUUUUUCCUCAAAAAAACUCAGUGUGCCAUGAAACGUACUUUGAGAAGUGGGGGUCUUUGGCAUGCAUCUGUGGUACCCCAGGAAGGUGACAUAGAAGGAGGGGCCAGGCAGGGACCACAGAGUCUGGGUGCCCCUCCAGAGAGGGUGUCUCACCAAGCCACAGGCCAACACCAGGCCCCGCAGAGACCCCUGCUCGUGCUCAGUGAAUGAGUGGGCACCCCGACUAACAGGAAUUUCAUCCUAUUGACAGACAACCGACCCUCUGCCUCUGGACCAGUGUAGGGGUUCACCCCAAAGGGAGGCCCCACCAGACAUUUGCUCGCCUCCCUGGCCUCAACUCCCAGGCCUCCCCAGCCCCUUGCCCACCCCAGGCUUCCGUGACACCAAGCUGCCACAUGCCUUGCCUUCUCUGCUCUGGGCCUUCUCACACAUUGUUCCUGCUGUCUAGAAUGACCCCCUACUCUCACUCCAAUUCCACCUUUUGUCUGCUGACUGGAUCGCCACUCAUUCAUGAAGGCCAAGUUCAGGGACUAUGGACGCCCCUCUCAGGCCACACCUCCCCACCCUCUGCCAGCACCUUCCACAGUGAGGGCCCUGACAGCUCCUCCACCCUGGUGUCCAGGCAGCUUCUCGCAGUGAAGAGAAGAUGAACUUCAACAUGGCGGUAGCAGUUCACGCUGACCUUCUCCCUUGG
rnacentral:lncRNA from 10 species